GUGUACUGCAAAACUCCUUUCUUAUAAAUGUGGAAGCUGAGAGAUGAAGGCUCAAUCUUGGAUCUCUUCUUGCAAGAAAAUGAAAGGAGAAACAUUAACCCAAAAUGGAGUUGUUGUCCGUGGACGGAAAAACUCUUCUUAAACCUCUCGUAUGUGCUUAAGUCUUUCAAAGACUAAUAUCAAUGAACAUGAAAAUAAUUCUCAAAGA